CUCAGCUGCCAGCCUUUGGACAAACGACCAUCAGAACUGGAGUGGGUUGUGCCUACUUUCAUUGUAGGCAGUCAGAAGGUACUGGACUCUAGGAGUCCCUUCCGCUCAUUUGUAGAGAACAUAGUGCUGCUUAUCUGCUGUGAUCGAUCCAGUUUCGAAUUGACUCGAGCUUCAUACUGGCCCAGGAUGAAGGAAGUACUUCCUGAAGAAUAUAGGAAUGGAAAUGACUUUGAGGUAUAAAUACAUAACAAGAGGUCCCAAAACUGAGAGACCUGCAAGGACAAAUAUGUAUUCAAUGGGACAUGAAGAAACUGGUCCUUGAGAGACAGUUUUGGACCAGGGAUGAAGUAGCCCAGCUUAGCAGUAGCGCCACAUGUCCAACAUGUUCAACACUGCCGCAAAUCAGAGAAUCGAUUCUUCCACUGUUUUGCCAGUUACCUUUUUGGGGACUUCUCCUAAGUGAACUUCAGAACCACAGAACUCUGACCAUCACAAGGCGAAAACAAGUACUGCAGGUUAAUGAGUUGGGGAAAAAUCCAUCUUUUUUCCUAAAAUACUUUGUGAAUGAGAAGGUCUUUUCAAAUUAUUUUAAAGAUGAAGACCAAGGAAGGAAUGCAUAUAACAAUGCUAACACAAAGCAUGGGGAGAUUAUGGCAGAUUAA
rnacentral:lncRNA from 1 species